GAGACGAAGCCUUCCUUCUCUGUAAUCGAUUUUGUGUAUCGGUGGCGACGACGCUCUCGUCGACGGCGACGGAGCUCUCCUCGACGGCGACGUAGGUGGCGUUCGGCGAAGUACAUUUGGUCGAGGGAACAAGACAAAGGAAGCUCAAAGCGUAGGAGUACAUUUGGUUUUCCCAGUACAGUCAACAAGAUAGUGGCAUAGGUUUAGAAUCUUCUCCCAUUCCUUUGUUUGGCACGCAAGCCACAAAAGAUUCAAACUUCGAGCAUGACAGUCCAG